GAGUUUGAUCGUGGCUCAGAUUGAACGCUGGCGGCAUGCCUUACACAUGCAAGUCGAACGGCAGCAUGAUCUAGCUUGCUAGAUUGAUGGCGAGUGGCGAACGGGUGAGUAAUACAUCGGAACGUGCCCUGUAGUGGGGGAUAACUAGUCGAAAGAUUAGCUAAUACCGCAUACGACCUGAGGGUGAAAGUGGGGGACCGCAAGGCCUCAUGCUAUAGGAGCGGCCGAUGUCUGAUUAGCUAGUUGGUGGGGUAAAGGCCCACCAAGGCGACGAUCAGUAGCUGGUCUGAGAGGACGAUCAGCCACACUGGGACUGAGACACGGCCCAGACUCCCACGGGAGGCAGCAGUGGGGAAUUUUGGACAAUGGGCGAAAGCCUGAUCCAGCAAUGCCGCGUGUGUGAAGAAGGCC
rnacentral:rRNA from 1 species